UGCCUCUGUUAAAGUUUGAUCAUGGCUCACCUUGGAUCUUAUCCUUAGAGUUUGAUCAUGGCUCAGGUUGGAUCACCUCCUUAGAGUUUGAUCAUGGCUCAGGUUGGAACACCUCCUUAGAGUUUGAUCAUGGCUCAGAUUGAACGCUGGCGGCAGGCUUAACACAUGCAAGUCGUGCGGGGAAGGGUAGCUUGCUACCUGACCUAGCGGCGGACGGGUGAGUAAUGCUUAGGAAUCUGCCUAUUAGUGGGGGACAACAUCUCGAAAGGGAUAGCUAAUACCGCAUACGUCCUACGGGAGAAAGCAGGGGAUCUUCGGACCUUGCGCUAAUAGAUGAGCCUAAGUCGGAUUAGCUAGUUGGUAGGGGUAAAGGCCUACCAAGGCGACGAUCUGUAGCGGGUACUGAGAGGAUGAUCCGCCACACUGGGACUGAGACACGGCCCAGACUCCUACGGGAGGCAGCAGUGGGGAAUAUUGGACAAUGGGGGGAACCCCGAUCCAGCCAUGCCGCGUGUGUGAACGAAGGCCUUAUGGUUGUAAAGCACUUUAAAGCGAGGAGGAGGCUACUUUAGUUAAUACCUAGAGAUAGUGGACGUUACUCGUCAGAAUAAGCACCGGGNUAACUCUUGUGCCAGNAGCCGCGGUAAUAACAGAGGGUGCAAGCGUUUAAUCGGACUUACUGGGGCGUAAAGCGCGCGUAUGAGGNUAAUAAGUCACUGUGAAUUCCCGAGCUU
rnacentral:rRNA from 1 species